AGAGUUUGAUCCUGGCUCAGGAUGAACGCUAGCUACAGGCUUAACACAUGCAAGUCGAGGGGAAACGACAUCGAAAGCUUGCUUUUGAUGGGCGUCGACCGGCGCACGGGUGAGUAACGCGUAUCCAACCUGCCCACCACUUGGGGAUAACCUUGCGAAAGUAAGACUAAUACCCAAUGACGUCUCUAGAAGACAUCUGAAGGAGAUUAAAGAUUUAUCGGUGAUGGAUGGGGAUGCGUCUGAUUAGCUUGUUGGCGGGGUAACGGCCCACCAAGGCUACGAUCAGUAGGGGUUCUGAGAGGAAGGUCCCCCACAUUGGAACUGAGACACGGUCCAAACUCCUACGGGAGGCAGCAGUGAGGAAUAUUGGUCAAUGGGCGAGAGCCUGAACCAGCCAAGUAGCGUGCAGGAUGACGGCCCUAUGGGUUGUAAACUGCUUUUAUAAGGGAAUAAAGUGAGUCUCGUGAGACUUUUUGCAUGUACCUUAUGAAUAGGACCGGCUAAUUCCGUGCCAGCAGCCGCGGUAAUACGGAAGGUCCGGGCGUUAUCCGGAUUUAUUGGGUUUAAAGGGAGCGUAGGCCGGAGAUUAAGCGUGUUGUGAAAUGUAGAUGCUCAACAUCUGCACUGCAGCGCGAACUGGUUUCCUUGAGUACGCACAAAGUGGGCGGAAUUCGUGGUGUAGCGGUGAAAUGCUUAGAUAUCACGAAGAACUCCGAUUGCGAAGGCAGCUCACUGGAGCGCAACUGACGCUGAAGCUCGAAAGUGCGGGUAUCGAACAGGAUUAGAUACCCUGGUAGUCCGCACGGUAAACGAUGGAUGCCCGCUGUUGGUCUGAAUAGGUCAGCGGCCAAGCGAAAGCAUUAAGCAUCCCACCUGGGGAGUACGCCGGCAACGGUGAAACUCAAAGGAAUUGACGG
rnacentral:rRNA from 1 species